GACGAACGCUGGCGGCGUGCUUAACACAUGCAAGUAGAGCGGCGCGGCGCACGGGUGAGUAACGCGUGAGUAACUGCACCCCUCUCUGGGAAAACAGUUGGAAACGGCUGCUAAUACCGGAUAGUGGGUAUGGCCUCGCGUCCUAUCAGCAUGUUUGUUGGGUAGUGGACUACCAAUGCUACGACGGGUAGCCGGCCUGCGAGUGCGACCGGCCACAUUUGUCUGAGAUACGGCCCAAACUCCUACGUGAGGCAGCAGGUGGGAAUAUUGCACAAUUGUGGAAACCCUGAUGCAGCAACGCGCGGUCGUGAUGACGGCCUUCGGGUUGUAAACCGCUUUCAGCCAUGACGCGGUAGUGGCAGAAGAAGCACCGGCUAACUACGUGCCAGCAGCCGCGGUAAUAC
rnacentral:rRNA from 1 species